GAGGAAUAUUGGUCAAUGGGCGAGAGCCUGAACCAGCCAAGUCGCGUGAAGGAAGACUGCCUUAUGGGUUGUAAACUUCUUUUGUACAGGAAUAAAAGACAUUACGUGUAAUGUAUUGCAUGUACUGUACGAAUAAGCAUCGGCUAACUCCGUGCCAGCAGCCGCGGUAAUACGGAGGAUGCGAGCGUUAUCCGGAUUUAUUGGGUUUAAAGGGUGCGCAGGCGGGCUUUUAAGUCAGCGGUGAAAUCUGGACGCUUAACGUCCAAACUGCCGUUGAAACUGGGAGUCUUGAGUAUGGAUGAAGUAGGCGGAAUUCGUUGUGUAGCGGUGACAUGCAUAGAUAUAACGAGGAACUCCGAUUGCGUAGGCAGCUUACUAAGCCAUAACUGACGCUCAUGCACGAAAGCGUGGGGAUCAAACA
rnacentral:rRNA from 1 species